AGUCGAACGGAGAUUACAGGCGGAAGUUUUCGGAUGGAAGCUUGUAAACUUAGUGGCGGACGGGUGAGUAACACGUGAGCAACCUGCCUAUCAGAGGGGGAUAACGAUUGGAAACGAUCGCUAAUACCGCAUGACAUAGCGGAACCGCAUGGUUUUGCUAUCAAAGAUUUUAUCGCUGAUAGAUGGGCUCGCGUCCGAUUAGAUAGUUGGUGGGGUAACGGCCUACCAAGUCGACGAUCGGUAGCCGGACUGAGAGGUCGAACGGCCACAUUGGGACUGAGACACGGCCCAGACUCCUACGGGAGGCAGCAGUGGGGGAUAUUGCACAAUGGGGGAAACCCCGAUGCAGCGACGCCGCGUGAGGGAAGACGGUCCUCUGGAUUGUAAACCUCUGUCUUCGGGGACGAAACGAGACGGUACCCGAGGAGGAAGCCACGGCUAACUACGUGCCAGCAGCCGCGGUAAUACGUAGGUGGCAAGCGUUGUCCGGAAUUACUGGGUGUAAAGGGAGCGUAGGCGGGCAGGCAAGUCAGGCGUGAAAUAUAUCGGCUCAACCGGUAACGGCGCUUGAAACUGCAGGUCUUGAGUGAAGUAGAGGUUGGCGGAAUUCCUAGUGUAGCGGUGAAAUGCGUAGAUAUUAGGAGGAACACCAGUGGCGAAGGCGGCCAACUGGGCUUUUACUGACGCUGAGGCUCGAA
rnacentral:rRNA from 1 species